rnacentral:rRNA from 1 species
UACCAGCUCUCCGAGUGGUAGGGAUGAUUAUUGGGCUUAAAGCGUCCGUAGCCGGCUUAGCAAGUUUCCCGUUAAACUCAGCGACUCAAUCGUUGGAUCGCGGGAAAUACUACUAGGCUAGGAGGCGGGAGAGGUCAACGGUACUUCUGGGGUAGGGGUGAAAUCCUAUAAUCCCGGGAGGACCACCAGUGGCGAAGGCUGUUGACUAGAACGCGCUCGACGGUGAGGGACGAAAGCUGGGGUAGCAAACCGGAUUAGAUACCCGGGUAGUCCCAGCUGUAAACGAUGCGAGCUAGGUGUUGGAAUGGCUACGGGCCAUUUCAGUGCCGCAGGGAAGCCAUUAAGCUCGCCGCCUGGGGAGUACGGCCGCAAGGCUGAAACUUAAAGGAAUUGGCGGGGAGCACCACAAGGCGUGAAGCUUGCGGUUC